rnacentral:tmRNA from 1 species
GCUCUGUUUUUCUCCGGCCUUGCAUCCUAUAUUGGGGAUGCCGGUUCGCCGGCUAUGGAAAUAAAUGACCGUCGCAAUAAACCAUUCGGACCCGGGGGCAGUACCCGGCGCCUCCACCCAAGCCCAUCCUCCCCGGGUGGGUUUCGGCGGGGGCGAACCAGGAUCGACGAGGGCGUAAAGGACGUGUUUUUUCCCGGUAUUGUUCCGCCGUUAUCGGGCUAUGCAAUAGUUGCAAACGACAACUAUGCUCCGGUUGCUCAGGCUGCGUAACGCAGUUUGAAAGACCAAUCUAAAGUCCUAGCGGGUUAAGCUCCGCUAGGCGGGGUCCGGAGGCACCUGGCAACAGAAGCCUCCACU